rnacentral:tRNA from 1 species
ACAUUGUUGGUUGGUGGAAGGAUGGUUUAAACUGUUGGUUUUCACCCGUUACGACCCGGGUUCGAUUCCCGCAUUGGGCA